rfam:Felis catus isolate Cinnamon breed Abyssinian chromosome B2, whole genome shotgun sequence.
CUGCAGCCAAUUAAGCGGACUGUGCUCUUUCCCCACAGGGGCCCAGUAUGCAAUGGCCACACACAGUAGCCUCCUUGGUAGUGUAUGAAGCCUGUUGAUUGUAUGGGUUGCCCUAAGGGGCCUUGGGGACAGCC